GGAUGCGAUCAUACUAGCACUAACGCACUGGAUCACAUCAAAACUCCGAAGUUAAGUAUGCUUGGGUGAGAGUAGUACUAGGAUGGGUGACCCCCUAGGAAGUCCUCGUGUUGCAUCCC
rfam:Nicotiana sylvestris Nsyl_contig33635, whole genome shotgun sequence.